GCGCUGACUAAUUGGCGAGCCACGCCCAGCCUGGGCAGGAAGCCAGGAGCAUGACACUAAGCUGUGUAUUCAGAUGGCGAUCAAAACCGCUAAGGUUCCCACCUUUGGUAAACACGGAGCUGACAGAACACCUGACCUCAUAGGCCCCUCCAACAGGUAGUAAGCCCAUGGGAAGGGAAACUCACAUUUCCUACUUGGGCUGUGCCUAGCCGUCCCCCUCCCUAUGUCCAGGCCCAGCCACCAGCUACUCUCCAUUGAGCCCCACCUCCAGGGGAUGUUUGAGCUGUGCUUUUCUCUGGACACUCACCUUGUCUAUCUUCAAGGAAAAUGAGCACUAUCGGAAACUUUGAUGAAUGACGUGAGUCAUAUAAUCAAAGUAUGUUUAUCCACGUCAGGUGUCAGGAAGGACAAAGACUUCAAGCUGUAUGUGUCAAAUUCUAGUCAUAUUUAAGAGUAUGUCCUGCAUGUAACUGGUAAAACCUACAAGCACUGAACUUCUACUAUCUUGUCAGUAUCGGUUUUCAAUAUAAAGCAACUUUAAAGUAAUAAUAAAUGCAUUCAUUUUACACAUAUUAGUCAUAUUGAUUGAACUUUUCUUACGUGGUGUAGAACCGUAUGUUUUAACAAAGGAUGUAAAACAUCAAUGAUUUCCUUUUAGUCCCAUCUCUGAUUCUGGCACCCGUACAUUUUUUUUUCAUGCCAGGAAUGUGAUGUUAUCCUAAAGUUGUGUAUGUUGAGUUUGUGUUUAAAUGUGCCAUGU